UACGUAGGGUGCAAGCGUUAAUCGGAAUUACUGGGCGUAAAGCGUGCGCAGGCGGCUUUGCAAGACAGAUGUGAAAUCCCCGGGCUCAACCUGGGAACUGCAUUUGUGACUGCAUGGCUAGAGUGCGGCAGGAGGGGGAUGGAAUUCCGCGUGUAGCAGUGAAAUGCGUAGAUAUGCGGAGGAACACCGAUGGCGAAGGCAAUCCCCUGGGCCUGCACUGACGCUCAUGCACGAAAGCGUGGGGGAGCAAACAGG
rnacentral:rRNA from 1 species